CUGAUAACUAUGAUAAUGAUGAUGAAU
rnacentral:sRNA from 1 species